UCCUCAGUCGCUCAGUUGGUAGAGCAUGGUGCUUGCAACACCAGGGUAGUGGGUUCGAUUCACGCUGGGGUC
rnacentral:tRNA from 1 species